CAAGGGUAUACGAGUAGCUGCGUUCCCCUGCUAGAACCUCCAAACAAGCUCUCAAGGCCAGCAAAUAUUUUAGCACCUAUAUGCUAGGUGCUUGGAAUAUACU
rnacentral:sRNA from 1 species